GUGGUGUCAUUCAAUGUGGUAAACUAUUUUGACAAGUCUGCAUGCAAAUUAUCCACCAUUCGAUGCUCGCAUUGCAGCAUCCGCAACUCCUUUGCAGGAUCAUAACAAGAACUAUCUAUCCAUGGAAAACUGCCCUUCAUCUGGAAUCUACUUUCUUGCUAAUUUAGCUUUUGGUGCGGGUCAGCAGUUGUCUAAGUUAUAUUCUUUUUAGAUGGCGCUUAAAUCUGUCCCCAUGGUCUUUGAGAGUGAACUUUGGACACUAGCGGUUGAGCCAUAGCAAGUUAAUAAGCUGCCAUCUCAAAGACGCCUCAUACAUAUAUUCAGGGCACAUGAGGAAACCGCAUCUGGCCGCGGAAAUCUCCAUCAAAAACUAAAACAGACAGCUCCGUUGUGCCCUGCCCAUUGAAGGGAAGUUCUAGUGCUGUAGCUGCAGACGGACAUUUUCCUCUGUGCAGAAAUGGGAGGAAGUCCUUUCACUAGGAUUUAUCACCUCAAAAGGUCACCGGCACUGUCGUUACUAAAAAGAUAACAUGAAAGCUUUGUACGUCCUUUCGUGGUUGGGCCAAGGGAAAGCUCCAAGAAUUGUGAGUGGUUUAUAUUUGUUAUAUAAAACACCACAAUCCAUGUGCAUGCUUCGAUAUGUAUACACAUACAUACUUACGUGUAAUAUAUAUAUAUAGAGAGAGAGAGAGAGAGA